ACUACGUGGAUGGGGGAAGAACUUUCUGAGAAAAACCAGAUUUCAAAAGAAAUAAUUGGCCUUAGCAGGCGUUUGGAUGUUUUGCUGCAAGAAUUGGUGCCUGGAUGAAUUCAAAACAUAAAAGUCUUUGGAUUAAACUUUAUCAUACCUUUAGAAUUCAAAUAGAAAAUGUUUGUUUAUCUCUGGAUUCAUCCAUCAAGAAGAUAAUGACCCCCAAACAUUCUCCACAACUACACGCAAGCUAUUUGAAGAAAAGAAAAGAGACUGGGCUUUUUGUGAAGGUAAAAUGGGGUUUACCUAACGUGCUGAGGACAGUGGCCGACACAGAGUAAGUAUUAUUAAUGUUAGCUCUUCUUCCAAUGAUGCUCUCCCUGCUAUCAGCUAUAUAAAAAUGUCUCCAGCCCUCGGCAUUCUCUGAGAAUGAUGAGAAGUGGAAGGGGGUAAAGAUUCUGUCCCCAAAGCUUCAAACAUUACUACUUAGACUGUCAAAAAAUUCCACUGAGAAAAUUGACAUGUAAAGUUAUUUGCUAAAAGAUAAUUACAUUUACAGUUUACAUCGUUAGUUUUAAAUGUUAGGGAUUUCAUUAUGUUCUCACUCUACCUAGUUGUACAGAUACUCACCUGUUCGAAGCUUUUUUGUUUGUUUCAUAUUAUCAAAAUGACUAUUACCUCAUG
rnacentral:lncRNA from 10 species